rnacentral:rRNA from 1 species
UGCAGUCGAGCGGUAGCACGAAAAGCUUGCUCUCCGGAGGCUAGCGGCGGACGGGUGAGUAAUGUCUGGGAAACUGCCUGAUGGAGGGGGAUUACUACUGGAAACGGGGGCUAAUACCGCAUAACGACUUUAAACCGCAUGGGGGGACCUUCAGGCCUCGUGCCAUCUGAUGUGCCCAGAUGGGACCGCCUAGUAUGAGGUGUAACGGCUCACCUAGGCUACCAUCCCUAACUGGUCUGAGACGAUGACCAGCCACACUGGAACUGACACACGGUCCAGACUCCUACGGGAGGCUACGUGGGGAAUAUUGCACAAUGGGCGCAAGCCUGAUGCAGCCAUGCCGCGUGUGUGAAGAAGGCCUUCGGGUUGUCUUCCACUUUCAGCGCUCUGGAAGGCGGUGAGGUUAAUAACCUUAUCGAUUGACGUUACCCGCACGAAGAAUACCGGCUAACUCCGUGCCAGCUAGCCGCGGUAAUACGGAGGGUGCACAGCGUUAAUCGGAAUUACUGCGGCGUAAUUGGCACGCAGGCGGCGCUGUCAAGUCGGAUGUGAAAUCCCCGUGGCUCAACCUGGGCAACUGCCAUUCGAAACUGAUUGGGCUACUGGUCAUGCUAUGAGGUGGGGUAGAAUUCCAGUGUGUAUUCGCAUGAAAUG